rnacentral:rRNA from 1 species
AGAGUUUGAUCAUGGCUCAGGAUGAACGCUGGCGGCGUGCUUAACACAUGCAAGUCGAACGGGAAUGCUUCGCUGAUGCGAUUUCGGUCAAACCUUGAAGCAUUUUAGUGGCGGACGGGUGAGUAACGCGUGGGUAACCUGCCCUGUACAGGGGGACAACAGUUGGAAACGACUGCUAAUACCGCAUAAGCGCACAGCUUCGCAUGAAGCAGUGUGAAAAACUCCGGUGGUACAGGAUGGACCCGCGUUUGAUUAGAUAGUUGGUGAGGUAACGGCCCACCAAGUCAACGAUCAGUAGCCGGCCUGAGAGGGCGAACGGCCACAUUGGGACUGAGACACGGCCCAAACUCCUAUGGGAGGCAGCAGUGGGGAAUAUUGGGCAAUGGGCGAAAGCCUGACCCAGCAACGCCGCGUGAAGGAAGAAGGCCUUCGGGUUGUAAACUUCUUUUACCAGGGACGAAGGACGUGACGGUACCUGGAGAAAAAGCAACGGCUAACUACGUGCCAGCAGCCGCGGUAAUACGUAGGUUGCAAGCGUUGUCCGGAUUUACUGGGUGUAAAGGGCGUGUAGGCGGAGAUGCAAGUUAGGAGUGAAAUCUAUGGGCUCAACCCAUAAACUGCUUCUAAAACUGUAUCCCUUGAGUAUCGGAGAGGCAAGCGGAAUUCCUAGUGUAGCGGUGAAAUGCGUAGAUAUUAGGAGGAACACCAGUGGCGAAGGCGGCUUGCUGGACGACAACUGACGCUGAGGCGCGAAAGCGUGGGGAGCAAACAGGAUUAGAUACCCUGGUAGUCCACGCUGUAAACGAUGAAUACUAGGUGUGGGGGGACUGACCCCCUCCGUGCCGCAGUUAACACAAUAAGUAUUCCACCUGGGGAGUACGACCGCAAGGUUGAAACUCAAAGGAAUUGACGGGGGCCCGCACAAGCAGUGGAUUAUGUGGUUUAAUUCGACGCAACACGAAGAACCUUACCAGGACUUGACAUCCAACUAACGAAGUAGAGAUACAUCAGGUGCCCUUCGGGGAAAGUUGAGACAGGUGGUGCAUGGUUGUCGUCAGCUCGUGUCGUGAGAUGUUGGGUUAAGUCCCGCAACGAGCGCAACCCCUAUUGUUAGUUGCUACGAAAGAGCACUCUAGCGAGACUGCCGUUGACAAAACGGAGGAAGGCGGGGACGACGUCAAAUCAUCAUGCCCCUUAUGUCCUGGGCUACACACGUAAUACAAUGGUGGCCAACAGAGGGAAGCGAAGCCGUGAGGCGGAGCAAAUCCCUAAAAGCCAUCUCAGUUCGGAUUGCAGGCUGCAACUCGCCUGCAUGAAGCUGGAAUUGCUAGUAAUCGCGGAUCAGCAUGCCGCGGUGAAUACGUUCCCGGGCCUUGUACACACCGCCCGUCACACCAUGAGAGUCGGGAACACCCGAAGUCCGUAGUCUAACCGCAAGGGGGGCGCGGCCGAAGGUGGGUCCGGUAAUUGGGGUGAAGUCGUAACAAGGUA